rfam:Triticum aestivum genome assembly, contig: Triticum_aestivum_CS42_TGACv1_scaffold_112155_2AS
AUUGUACUCCCUCCGUCCCAAAAUUAUUGUCUUAGAUUUGUCUAAAUAUGAAUGUAUCUAGUUACAUUUUAGUGUUAGAUACAUCCAUAUCUAGACAAAUCUAAGAUAAGAAUUUUCGAACGGAGGAAGUAUUAA